rnacentral:rRNA from 1 species
UACAGGGGGUGCAAACGUUGCUCGGAAUCAUUGGGCGUAAAGCGCACGUAGGCGGUUCGUUAUGUCGGAUGUGAAAGCCCUUGGCUUAACCGAGGAAGUGCAUCCGAAACUGGCGAGCUAGAGUACGAAAGAGGAUCGCGGAAUUCCCGGUGUAGAGGUGAAAUUCGUAGAUAUCAGGAGGAACACCGGUGGCGAAGGCGGGACUCUGGGCCGAUACUGACGCUGAGGAGCGAAAGCGUGGGGAGCAAACAGG